rnacentral:rRNA from 1 species
AUUGAACGCUGGCGGCAUGCUUUACACAUGCAAGUCGAACGGUAACAGGCCUUCGGGCGCUGACGAGUGGCGAACGGGUGAGUAAUGCAUCGGAACGUGCCCAGUCGUGGGGGAUAACGCAGCGAAAGCUGUGCUAAUACCGCAUACGAUCUGCGGAUGAAAGCGGGGGACCUUCGGGCCUCGCGCGAUUGGAGCGGCCGAUGUCAGAUUAGGUAGUUGGUGGGGUAAAGGGUCACCAAGCCAACGAUCUGUAGCUGGCCUGAGAGGACGACCAGCCACACUGGGACGGGGACACGGCCCAGACUCCUACGGGAGGCAGCAGGGGGGAAGUUUGGAGAAUGGGCGCAAGCCUGAUCCAGCAAUGCCGCGUGCAGGAAGAAGGCCUUCGGGUUGUAAACUGCUUUUGUACGGAGCGAAAAGGCUCCCUCUAAUGCAGGGGGCUCAUGACGGUACCGUAAGAAUAAGCACCGGCUAACUACGUGCCAGCCGCCGCCGUAACAC